rnacentral:lncRNA from 1 species
AAAUAAAUUAUGCUCCAUGUAAAAAAAACGAAGAUGUGGUACAAUUGUCGAUAGGAAAUGUUCCAGUCAGAUCCAAAUGAAUUAAAAAUUGACAACUAUAUGAAUUCUUAAGGCCUUCAACAGUGAGCAAAACCCAUGCCGUAUAAAUUAUAAAAAUCCCUUAAAUAACAAAAGUAAAACAACUUACACUAAAACUAACGGCCUGAUUUUUGUACCAAACAAUAAAGAACAGAUAAAUUAAAUAAACAAAACCAAACGACAACCAAUAAAUUACAUGUUCUUGAUUUGGAACAGGCACAAAUAUAAUAUGUCAGGGUUACGCAGGUUUACAUGCUUCAACCCUGCGGUAAGAUAAUAAAAAUCUAUAUGCAGUUCCUGUACGAGUACAGGUCACUGACCUGUGAAAAAAAACAGCAAAAUUCAUAACGUAUGGUCAGUUAUUAAAAAGCCCAGUUAUGAUAAAAAUUCAAAAUAGAAAAUUAGCGG